GAACUCGGCGGCCGCUAUGGCGUCAAACAUGGACCGGGAGAUGAUUCUGGCGGAUUUUCAGGACUCAGGAUUAUGCUGCUGCUGAUCCAAGGACUACACUUGAGAACAACUGAUCUAGAUGACUUUGAAGAAACAUCCAUUCCUAUGAUUCUUUGCUUUUGUGAUCUUAAGUACUGUUCCAUUUUUAUGACAGGAAAAUUAAAUAUUCAGUAUAUACCUGAUGGUUACAAUGGAAUAUGCUGUUUAAUCACUCCAUGUCUUUGAACCCUUUUUUAUUCAUGUGCCUUUGGAAAAUUUCUAGUUAUCUUUCAAAAUCCACCUCCUACCUUUUACUUAUAACAUCUGUGCCUAGUAGGGUUAAUCAUUUCUUAUGUAUCUUAUGCAGUUUCUCUUUUGAGUCCUAUGUCAGAUUGUCAAUAAUCAUUUUACAUGUUUCUUUCCCCUGUUGUCAGCUCUUUGAAAAAACAACUGCCUGGGUCUUAA